rfam:Gossypium hirsutum cultivar TM-1 chromosome 23, whole genome shotgun sequence
UAUUAAAAAUUACAUUCAUUUAUAUAAUUAAAAAUUGAUAUAAUUGAUAGAAUAAUCAGAUAGUGACAUAUGAUGUGCCACGUGUACCUUAUUCAGAUAUAUAGAGACUAGUUUUUAAUAGUAGAAAUAGAUAAAAUUUUUAACA